CUGGAGGGCCGAACCCACGCCUGUUGAAAAAGUCGGGGAUGAGCUGUGGCUAGGGGUGAAAGGCCAAUCAAACUCGGAGAUAGCUGGUUCUCCGCGAAAUCUAUUGAGGUAGAUCGUCGAGUGGUCACCCCGGGGGGUAGAGCACUGGAUGGGCUAGGGGGCCCCAAAGGCUUACCAAACCCAACCAAACUCCGAAUACCCGGAAGUGUAGCUCGGCAGACAGACGGUGGGUGCUAAGGUCCAUUGUCGAGAGGGAAACAGCCCAGACCACCAGCUAAGGUCCCCAAGUCAUGGCUAAGUGGGAAAGGAUGUGGGAAUUCCAAAACAACCAGGAGGUUGGCUUAGAAGCAGCCAUCCUUUAAAGAAAGCGUAAUAGCUCACUGGUCUAAUAGAAAUCCUGCGCCGAAGAUGUAUCGGGGCUCAAGCCAUGCACCGAAGCUGUGGGUUCAAGGAAGGUAGCAGCCCCUUGAGCGGUAGCGGAGCGUUCCGUAGGCCUGUGAAGGUGUGGGGGUGACCCCUGCUGGAGGUAUCGGAAGUGCGAAUGCUGACAUGAGUAGCGACAAACAGAGUGAGAAACUCUGUCGCCGAAAGUCCAAGGGUUCCUGCGCAAGGUUAAUCCGCGCAGGGUGAGCCGGCCGGAUUGACCUGGCUUUUGGACCGUUCCAGGAAAUAGCUCCAGCAUAUAGACCGUACCCUAAACCGACACAGGUGGACUGGUAGAGUAUACCAAGGCGCUUGGGAGAACCAUACCGAAGGAACUAGGCAAAUUGCUCGCGUAACUUCGGGAUAAGCGAGACCCGCGAGUGGGCAACCAUUUUCGGGUGGCACAGAGCAGGGGGUAGCGACUGUUUAGUAAAAACACAGGGCUGUGCGAAGUCGAGAGACGACGUAUACGGUCUGACGCCUGCCCGGUGCCGGAAGGUUAAGAGGAGGGGUGCAAGCUCUGAAUUGAAGCCCCGGUAAACGGCGGCCGUAACUAUAACGGUCCUAAGGUAGCGAAAUUCCUUGUCGGGUAAGUUCCGACCUGCACGAAUGGCGUAACGACUUCCCCACUGUCUCCGGUAUGGGCUCAGCGAAAUUGAAUUCCCCGUGAAGAUGCGGGGUACCCGCGGUCAGACGGAAAGACCCUAUGAACCUUUACUGCAGCUUUACAGUGGUAUGAGAGAGAGACUGUGUAGGAUAGGCGGGAGGCUUUGAAGCAUGGGCGCCAGCUCGUGUGGAGCCAUCCUUGAAAUACCGCCCUGUUUGUUUCUGAUAUCUAACCGCGUCCAGUCAGCCUGGACCGGGACCCUGUAUGGUGGGCAGUUUGACUGGGGCGGUCGCCUCCCAAAGUGUAACGGAGGCGCGCGAUGGUGGGCUCAGGCCGGUCGGACAUCGGCUGCUGAGUGCAAUGGCAUAAGCCCGCCUGACUGCGAGAGCGACAGCUCGAGCAGAGACGAAAGUCGGCCAUAGUGAUCCGGUGGUCCCGCGUGGAAGGGCCAUCGCUCAACGGAUAAAAGGUA
rnacentral:rRNA from 1 species